rnacentral:misc_RNA from 1 species
GAUGAAGAACGUAGCGAAAUGCGAUACGUAAUGUGAAUUGCAGAAUUCAGUGAAUCAUCGAGUCUUUGAACGCACAUUGCGCCCCCUGGUAUUCCGGGGGGCAUGCCUGUCCGAGCGUCAUUGCUGUCCUCAAGCACGGCUUGUGUGUUGGGCCUCCGUCCUCCUCCCGGGGGACGGGCCCGAAAGGCAGCGGCGGCACCGCGUCCGGUCCUCGAGCGUAUGGGGCUUCGUCACCCGCUCUUGUAGGCCCGGCCGGCGCUUGCCGACACAUCAAUCUUUUUUCCAGGUUGACCUCGGAUCAGGUAGGGAUACCCGCUGAACUUAAGCAUAUCAAUAAGCGGAGGA